rnacentral:rRNA from 1 species
AAUGAACGCUGGCGGCAUGCCUUACACAUGCAAGUCGAACGGCAGCAUGAUCUUACUUUUUUGGUUGAUGGCGAGUGGCGCAUGGGUGAGUAAUGUAUCGGUACGUGCCUUUUAUCGUGGGAUAACCUAGCGGAAGUUACGCUAUGACCGCAUAUUCUCCGUGGGGGAAAGUACGGGACCUUCGGGCCCUUUGCUAGACGUACGUCCGAUGUCGGAUUAGCUAGUUGGUGAGGUAGAGGCUUACCAAGGCAACGAUCCGGAGCGGGUCUGAGAGGAUGAUUCGCCACACUGGGACUGAGACACGGGCCCGACUCCUACGGGAGGCAGCAGUGGGGAAUGGUGGAGAAUGGGGGGAAGCCUGCUCCAGCAACGCCGCGUGGGUGAAGAAGGACUUCGGGUUGUAAAGCUCUUUCGGGUGGGAAGAAAGCGCGCGCUAGACUCCAGGGUGUCGAUGACGGUACCAGCAUAAGAAGCACCGGCUAACUUCGUG